ACGAACGCUGGCGGCGUGCCUAAUACAUGCAAGUCGAGCGGACGAAUCGAAAGCUUGCUUUUGAUUCGUUAGCGGCGGACGGGUGAGUAACACGUGGGCAACCUGCCCUGUAGACGGGGAUAACACCGAGAAAUCGGUGCUAAUACCGGAUAACACGAAAUGUCGCAUGACGUUUCGUUGAAAGACGGCGCAAGCUGUCGCUACAGGAUGGGCCCGCGGCGCAUUAGCUAGUUGGUGAGGUAACGGCUCACCAAGGCGACGAUGCGUAGCCGACCUGAGAGGGUGAUCGGCCACACUGGGACUGAGACACGGCCCAGACUCCUACGGGAGGCAGCAGUAGGGAAUCUUCCGCAAUGGACGAAAGUCUGACGGAGCAACGCCGCGUGAGCGAAGAAGGCCUUCGGGUCGUAAAGCUCUGUUGUUAGGGAAGAACAAGUAACGCAGUAACUGGCGUUACCGUGACGGUACCUAACGAGAAAACCACGGCUAACUACGU
rnacentral:rRNA from 1 species